rnacentral:lncRNA from 1 species
GUUUUGGUAUAUUAAUCACAUGCAUCUAUAAUGAUGGAACAAUAACCAUCCGUGUUCACUUCUGUAAAGUUUAAUUAACAUUUAUUUUGUACACAAACGAGAGCUAUUUGCUAUAAAAACUAUGGAAAGCCUGUUUAACAUUAAUGUGUCUUGUUAUGGAACGCAGGUUUAACAAUAUUUUGUAAUUCUAUUUAAAUGAGUGUUUUGAUUAAGUAAACUUCAUUUUGAAUAUGAAAGAGAGUUAAUGAAAUGAUUUAAGUACUAUUUACUGCAUAUAAACCA